ACUCCUACGGGAGGCAGCAGUAGGGAAUCUUCCACAAUGGGCGCAGGCCUGAUGGAGCAACACCGCGUGAGUGAAGAAGGGUUUCGGCUCGUAAAGCUCUGUUGUUAAAGAAGAACACGUAUGAGAGUAACUGUUCAUACGUUGACGGUAUUUAACCAGAAAGUCACGGCUAACUACGUGCCAGCAGCCGCGGUAAUACGUAGGUGGCAAGCGUUAUCCGGAUUUAUUGGGCGUAAAGAGAGUGCAGGCGGUUUUCUAAGUCUGAUGUGAAAGCCUUCGGCUUAACCGGAGAAGUGCAUCGGAAACUGGAUAAACUUGAGUGCAGAAGAGGGUAGUGGAACUCCAUGUGUAGCGGUGGAAUGCGUAGAUAUAUGGAAGAAACACCAAGUGGCGAAGGCGGCUACCUGGUCUGCAAACUGACGCUGAGACUCG
rnacentral:rRNA from 1 species